AGUGAGAAAACAAAGAUAGUAUUUACCUGACCGACAUAUUAUCAGUUACCCAAGGUCCAGCUAUGUGAAAAAUGCAAAAUUAUUAUCUUUCAUGCGUUCGCUGUUCUUAUAAAUACUCAACACCUGCCGAUUUAAAUCAGAAACCUACGAGCUCUACCCAAGUGAAGAUAAGAAGCUAUUACUACAACCAUGAAGAAAUUUUUCGCAAUUCUGUGCGUGACCAUUCUGGUAGUUGGUCUUGUUGAGAGUUGCAAACCACCUGGCUUACUCUGCAACGAAGACAAGGACUGCUGUGCACCGUUAGUAUGCAACCCGUGGGCUGGACGAUGUACCAAACCUCAGGCUCCUCCAUCUGCAACAAACAAACCGAGUAAUCCGCCUGCACCAAUUGUUGACGGCCAGAUGUGAACAAAUGAUUAAUCGACAAACUGGGACUGUACUUCGUAGGCCUACGAAUUUUUAGAACUUGCUUAUAAAUGUACAACAUAUACACAAUAUUAUCAAAGCAAUUAUAAUACGCAAUUGAAAAAAUGUA